AAACUUAAAGGAAUUGACGGGGAGCACCACAACGGGUGGAGCUUGCGGUUUUAAUUGGAUUCAACGCCGGAAAUCUUACCGGGACCGACAGCAAUAUGAAGGCCAGGCUGAAGACUUUGCCGGAUUAGCUGAGAGGUGGUGCAUGGCCGUCGUCAGUUCGUACUGUGAAGCAUCCUGUUAAGUCAGGCAACGAGCGAGACCCACGCCCACAGUUGCCAGCGUACUCUCUGGAGUGACGGGUACACUGUGGGGACCGCCGCUGCUAAAGCGGAGGAAGGAAUGGGCAACGGUAGGUCAGUAUGCCCCGAAUAUCCCGGGCUACACGCGAGCUACAAUGGUUGGUACAAUGGGUAUCUACCCCGAAAGGGGACGGGAAUCUCCUAAAACCAAUCUUAGUUCGGAUUGAGGGCUGCAACUCGCCCUCAUGAAGCUGGAAUCCGUAGUAAUCGCGUUUCAACAGAACGCGGUGAAUACGUCCCUGCUCCUU
rnacentral:rRNA from 1 species